rnacentral:rRNA from 1 species
GACGAACGCUGGCGGCGUGCUUAACACAUGCAAGUCGAACGGAAGGGCCCUGCUUUUGUGGGGUUCUCGAGUGGCGAACGGGUGAGUAACACGUGAGUAACCUGCCCUUGACUUUGGGAUAACUUCAGGAAACUGGGGCUAAUACCGGAUAUGAGCUCCUGCUGCAUGGGGGUGGUUGGAAAGUUUCGGCGGUUGGGGAUGGACUCGCGGGUUAUCAGCUUGUUGGUGGGGUUGUGGCUUACCAAGGCUUUGACGGGUAGCCGGCAUGAGAGGGUGACCGGCCACAUUGGGCCUGAGAUACGGCCCAGACUCCUACGGGAGGCAGCAGUGGGGAAUAUUGCACAAUGGGCGGAAGCCUGAUGCAGCAACGCCGCGUGCGGGAUGACGGCCUUCGGGUUGUAAACCGCUUUCGCCUGUGACGAAGCGUGAGUGACGGUAAUGGGUAAAGAAGCACCGGCUAACUACGUG